rnacentral:rRNA from 1 species
UGGGGAGUAUUGGACAAUGGGGGCAACCCUGAUCCAGCCAUGCCGCGUGAGUGAAGAAGGCCCUCGGGUUGUAAAGCUCUUUUGUCCGGAAAGAAAAGCAUUCGGUGAAUACCCGGAUGUUCUGACGGUACCGGAAGAAUAAGCACCGGCUAACUUCGUGCCAGCAGCCGCGGUAAUACGAAGGGUGCAAGCGUUACUCGGAAUUACUGGGCGUAAAGCGUGCGUAGGUGGUUGUUUAAGUCUGAUGUGAAAGCCCUGGGCUCAACCUGGGAAUGGCAUUGGAAACUGGGCAGCUAGAGUGCGGUAGAGGGUAGUGGAAUUCCCGGUGUAGCAGUGAAAUGCGUAGAGAUCGGGAGGAACAUCUGUGGCGAAGGCGACUGCCUGGACCAGCACUGACACUGAGGCACGAAAGCGUGGGGAGCAAACA